rnacentral:rRNA from 1 species
CCUACGGGAGGCAGCAGUGAGGAAUAUUGGUCAAUGGACGAGAGUCUGAACCAGCCAAGUAGCGUGAAGGAUGACUGCCCUAUGGGUUGUAAACUUCUUUUAUAUGGGAAUAAAAUGUUCCACGUGUGGGCUUUUGUAUGUACCCUAUGAAUAAGGAUCGGCUAACGCCGUGCCAGCAGCCGCGGUAAUACGGGGGGUCCCAGCGUUAUCCGGAUUUCUUGGGGUUAAAGGGAGCGUAGGUGGGUUGGUCAGUCAGUUGUGAAAGUUUGCGGCUCAAACGUAAAAUUGCAGUUGAAACUGGCAGUCUUGAGUAGAGUAGAGGUGGGCGGAAUGCGUGGUGUAGCGGUGAAAUGCUUAGAUAUCACGAAGAACUCCGAUUGCGAAGGCAGCUCACUGGACUGCAACUGACACUGAGGCUCGAAAGUGUGGGUAUCAAACAGGAUUAGAUACCCUGGUAGUC